ACUUUCUUCUUCAGUGGUAUAUGUUAAUGGAACAUAAUCGAUAUCUUGUCAUUUUUCAAUUAGAAAAAUAUUUUCGGUAUUAAACAUAGUAAACAGAAAAGGUGAACUCUAUAAAUUGGAGCAAGAUUUCAGGUAGAAAAGUUGUUCACAGACACACACAUACACACAAAAGGACACAUCGUAGUAGAACUAAUAGAUCCCUCACUACGCUCUGAGUCUAAAAUUGUAAAAUAUCU